rnacentral:lncRNA from 1 species
CCGCCCCUUCCGUUGGAAUACGCGUCCAGGAGUAAGGAUUGCUUGGCAGGAAAAGCGUCCGCUCGAGUGCCGGUGUGUUUUGUUUUGAUUUUGCCUUAGCGACCAGAGCCGAGAUUCGGGCGCCAAGUUCUAGCCUGUGUUCCCGGAGCCCGGGCCGAGCACCGGCCGCAAGCCUGGCACACGCAGCCCGGGUGACACUCAUCGGCCCCCGGCCUGUCUGAGUCACUGCAAGCUUCUCUCUCCCCACUAUUCCUCUGCAAGUCAGCUCACGUCAGCGAGACCGCAGCGUGCUGGAGAUACAGAAACAGCCCGGGGCGGUGGCCCGCCUGGCAGCCCCGCGGGCAGGAGGCUGAGGCAGGAGGAUCCUGUGAGCUCUGGGCCCACCUGGGCU